AAUGUACUUCCUCCGUCCAACAAAGGAUGUCUCAAUGUUGACUAAAUUUGAAUGCAUCUAUGCACUAAGUCAUGUCUAGAUACAUCCAAAUUUUGACAAAUUUGAGACAUUUUUUGUUGAACGGAGUAAGUAUGUU
rfam:Brachypodium distachyon strain Bd21 chromosome 3, whole genome shotgun sequence.